rnacentral:lncRNA from 1 species
GUCCUUCUAACGUUCUCUAUCUCGCUUCUGGUGAGCUGGUUGAAGAUGAACUGUGUCCAGGAGGAAAGAGCUGGGACUGUAGCACUCUGUGUGUCAGCCCACAGGUGCUGCUAAGCAGUCGCUCUGGCAUUUCCAUUUGGCUUCUUACGUGAAAGCUGGAUUCAUUUCCUUUGAUAACAGAAACUAAGGAUGAAAUUUAAGAAGUACAGAAGAGAGCACCAGAUUGAUACCAACAACACUUCCUGUCUGGACCUUCUUCGU